CCAUAGUGAAAAGAGUAGGCAAAGAACAAACAGCCGCACAUAGUGGCAAUUGGAAUCCCCAUUGGCUUGAACAUUGGCACGUAAAGAGGUCCUUUACCGCGCAUGCACCAUUUCUGAACACGAGUACGGAUUAUACUGCUAAAAAUUGCCUGUACAAGUAAGGCUUAGAUAUCAAUCAUGCAUGCAUGCAUACUCUUGAUUACUUGUUAAUUAUUAACGGUUUUCCUAAAACCUUAAGGUGAUGAAUCGAAGACUUCCUAUUUACUUACUGUUAAGAUAAUGACAAGAAGCUCCAUGUUCGGCUUUAGAAUCCAGGCACUGAUGUUUCUUUCUACAAAUACAGAGUAAACUGCAGAUGAUAUCGUCCCAAAUAAAAUAUAUAAGGAGACUAUCGUCAUUGGUUCUGGAUAUGCUUCAAGAGUUUUAACCUGAUCCAGUGAAGAUACAUAAAUACAAGUUCAAAUAUCAUACAUAACAGCCAAGACUUAAAAUGAUAUUUUUACUACUCCCUCCGUCUAUACGUUUGUUUGGGACUAAGCAAUCGGCAUGCAUAUCAAAACUCUUAUAAAAUAUAGUUUUAUUAAUUAUUUUAAACUUGUUUUUUUCUAAACAAAUUUAUUCAGAAACAAAAAUUGUAAAACAUAAGUUAGAGAAUCAUAUUUUAUAAAAGUUUUAAAAUACGUGUCUAACUAAUGAAAAAACCGUAUAAUAAUGGAAGAAACGGAUGGAGUAACUUUUAACUAAAAGUUAGCAUUCGGAAAAAAAAAUGUAUAAAAUUUUUGAAAUUCAGCCGGGCCAAGCCUCGGUUUAACCGCUAUUUGCAUGGAACUAGCUCAUGUAAACUGAAGUGAAAAAUGAAGAAACCUGAAUAAUGUUCCAACUGCAAAUAGUGAAAGAAGCAGCUGCAAGUAAAAUGGCACCAAGAAUCCAGUUUUCAUGACUAGAGGAGAAGAGGAACAGUUUUGUUGAGAGAUGGAGUUGGAGUUGAUGCGAAGGUGAAUAUUUGAUAACUAGCAAUUUAUACCCCAAAGAUGGGCGCCCAUGAUCCACUCUUCAACCCAAAUAAUGGGAUUUCGAGUGAGGGGGAGUGUUGAAUAUAAAGUAUAAGAUCCAUAAAGGGGCCUCCUCUAACACCUUAAGGUUUUAGAGGGAAUGGUUCUCUACAUGGUAUCAGAGCUCAGGUUUGCGGGAGGUCUCGAGUUCGAGCCCCUGCCACCCCCCAAUAUUCUCACAAUUUAAAAUGGACAGGAAAGCAAUUUAUCCCCCAAAGAUGGGCGCCCAUGAUCCACUCUUCAACCCAAAUAAUGGGAUUUCGAGUGAGGGGGAGUGUUGAAUAUAAAGUAUAAGAUCCAUAAAGUGGCCUCCUCUAACACCUUAAGGUUUUAGAGGGAAUGGUUCUCUACAGAUAAAUUUCAGAAUUACAGUCUGUUUCCCCAGAUGAUGAAUCUCAUGUGCCAGCAGAUGUGAGGCAUUGAAGAAAGCUCUACUCUGAGUCUUUAGUUGACAGGGUCUCUGUCAAUGAUGGCACGAGCUAACAAUAUUUUCCAUAUUUUACUAUAAUUAGGCCAGAGCAUAUGUAUAAUUUGCGCUUGUCAUCUUAUAUGUAGCCCUCAUGCCUGCACUAUGAGCCAUCCGCGUAGGUAAUGAAUGAAACUGUAUGUGUUUGCAAGCUAUCUUGCAUUCGACACCAUUGAAAUAUGUAGCUCAAGUAAGCAGAAGUAAUGCAUUCUUUAUUUUUUAAUGCAAUAGUUGCAUAGGCUUAUUAUCAGAUCACCAAAAAUUUCAAUUUUCAUUUUGUUUUCUGUAACAAUCAAGUUACAAAUAUACCAAUAAAAGGCUGGCACAUUCUCAAGAACACUUCCAUAUGCUAUGUACAAGAACAUCAACUAAAAUCUCUAAUAAAAACACUGCAGUUCUUAUUUAUACUUGGCUGUCUCCCUGCAGAAGAGGGGUCUUCUCAUCAGGCACCAUCGAUCCGUUUUCAUUCUUUUUAUAUACAUCAUCUUCUGUAAUUUGCCCCCACAUCACCGUAUAAGUUCCCAAUCCAACCACAAAGGCUCCCAUAAUGCUGCAUUCAUAAAAUUUCGAGUUAUUAUUAAUCUACAAUUUUAAUCUGAUUAGUAAAGCUUAAUAAUAUCUGGUUUUUUACCUCCCAUAGUGAAAAGAGUAGGCAAAGAACAAACAGCCGCACAUAGUGGCAAUUGGAAUCCCCAUUGGCUUGAACAUUGGCACGUAAAGAGGUCCUUUACCGCGCAUGCACCAUUUCUGAACACGAGUACGGAUUAUACUGCUAAAAAUUGCCUGUACAAGUAAGGCUUAGAUAUCAAUCAUGCAUGCAUGCAUACUCUUGAUUACUUGUUAAUUAUUAACGGUUUUCCUAAAACCUUAAGGUGAUGAAUCGAAG
rnacentral:lncRNA from 1 species